GAACUUUGCCCAAAUGCACAAGCAUAAGAGGGCCAUAUUUGUCGGAGAGGGUUUUGAGGGAUCGAUAGGGGAGAGCGCCUAGUUGGUGAAGGUUUCCAAUGAUUGGUAGCUUUGGGGGUGAUGGAGGUAAUUUGAGUUUGCGAGUUCUAUUGAACCUAAACAGAUAAAUAAAUGAUAAAAGGAGAAGAGAGGCAAUGAGCAGAGGAUUGAAUGGAACAGUUUUGGCAAACUCUUGACACCAUUGAUGCAACA
rnacentral:misc_RNA from 1 species